CCUACGGGAGGCAGCAGUGGGGGAUCUUGCACAUUGGGGGGAACCCUGAUGCAGCGACGCCGCGUGGGUGAAGGAGCGUUUCGGCGCGUAAAGCCCUAUCGGCAGGGAAGAAGAAGGACGGUACCUGACUAAGAAGCCCCGGCUAACUACGUGCCAGCAGCCGCGGUAAUACGUAGGGGGCAAGCGUUAUCCGGAUGUACUGGGGGUAAAGGGGGCGCAGACGGCAGCGCAAGCCAGGAGUGAAAGCCUGGGGCCCAACCCCGGAGCUGCUCGGGGAACUGCGCGGCUGGAGUGCAGGAGGGGCAGGCGGAAUGCCUGGUGUAGCGGUGAAAUGCGUAGAUAUCAGGAGGAAAACCGGGGGCGAAGGCGGCCUGCUGGACUGCGACUGACGUUGAGGCCCGAAAGCGUGGGGAGCAAACAGGAUUAGAUACCCCAGUAGUC
rnacentral:rRNA from 1 species